rnacentral:rRNA from 1 species
UACGGAGGGUGCGAGCGUUGUCCGGAAUCACUGGGCGUAAAGGGCGCGUAGGCGGCCUGAUAAGUAGGGGGUGAAAUCCUGCGGCUUAACCGCAGGGCUGCCUUCUAAACUGUCAGGCUCGAGCACAGUAGAGGCAGGUGGAAUUCCCGGUGUAGCGGUGGAAUGCGUAGAGAUCGGGAAGAACAUCAGUGGCGAAGGCGGCCUGCUGGGCUGUUGCUGACGCUGAUGCGCGACAGCAUGGGGAGCAAACAGG